UAGGGAAUCUUCGGCAAUGGGGGCAACCCUGACCGAGCAACGCCGCGUGAGUGAAGAAGGUUUUCGGAUCGUAAAGCUCUGUUGUAAGAGAAGAACGUGUGUGAGAGUGGAAAGUUCACACAGUGACGGUAACUUACCAGAAAGGGACGGCUAACUACGUGCCAGCAGCCGCGGUAAUACGUAGGUCCCGAGCGUUGUCCGGAUUUAUUGGGCGUAAAGCGAGCGCAGGCGGUUUAAUAAGUCUGAAGUUAAAGGCAGUGGCUUAACCAUUGUUCGCUUUGGAAACUGUUAAACUUGAGUGCAGAAGGGGAGAGUGGAAUUCCAUGUGUAGCGGUGAAAUGCGUAGAUAUAGGGAGGAACACAGGUGGCGAAAGCGGCUCUCUGGUCUGUAACUGACGCUGAGGCUCGAAAGCGUGGGGAGCAAACAGG
rnacentral:rRNA from 1 species